rnacentral:SRP_RNA from 1 species
UUGUAGGCUUGGUCGGGAAGCUAGCCCCUUUCCUUUAUGCAAACGGGCUUUAUGGCAGGCGACGGGCAAGGAGUGAAAAAGACUUUAUGGAAAGUCUUUAAGAUUUCGCUGACACUUUGUCCGCUUUGAUCCUACAUUUGCGAAUCGGGUCAGGCCUUGAUCGGAGCAGCCCUAAACAUUUGCAAGGGUGCUUAGCGGGUUGCAAAGCCGAGAAAUUUUGAAGGGAGCUUUUCUUAAGGUUUUUCUUGCAAUUUGCCCUGCUUACAU